rnacentral:rRNA from 1 species
UUGUGAACGUGCCCUAUCUCAUUUGAUCUUGGAAGCUAAGCAGAAU